UACGGGGGGGGCAAGCGUUGUUCGGAAUUACUGGGCGUAAAGGGCGCGUAGGCGGCCUGCUAAGUCGGACGUGAAAUCCCUCGGCUCAACCGAGGAACUGCGUCCGAUACUGGUGGGCUCGAAUCCGGGAGAGGGAUGUGGAAUUCCAGGUGUAGCGGUGAAAUGCGUAGAUAUCUGGAGGAACACCGGUGGCGAAGGCGGCAUCCUGGACCGGUAUUGACGCUGAUGCGCGAAAGCCAGGGGAGCAAACGGG
rnacentral:rRNA from 1 species